GAGCCUUAGAAGCCAAGUGAAAGGAGCCCCAGCAGGCUGGGGGCGCUUGGGGGCCAGGGGAGGACGACGCCUGCAGAGUCCGGAGAUGGAACUUGGAGGGGAAGUUCAGGAGGAAGAGUAUUCCAGGCCUGGGGAGCGGUCAGUCACAAUACCCAAAGCUGAAAGAUGAUGGAUCUACUUUGAAUAACAGCAAUGAGUUCAGUACCACCAAAAGGAGGAAGAAGAGGAGGAGCAGGAGGAAGAGGAGGAAGAGGAAGAAGAUGAUGCCCAACUGGUGACAUUCUCCUCUGCACAGGAUAAUGGAGACCUGUAGAUGGGAGGAGGGACUCCUCAUCUUUGCUGAAGGUCUCUGAGCAGGUCAGGAGACCACUAUAUCUGGGGUAGAAGAAACGUGGACAUGGGAGGCUCAGGCAUCAGGAGAGAAGCUGCAGUCCUACAAGGCAAAGACGAAUCUUCGCUCUGGGGUGAUAAUGGUGACGCCGGCCUUCCAGCGGUUCCCCCGGAUGCCCUUGGGCAGCUCAUCAUGGAUCUCAUACCCAUGCUCCUUGCUCCCGAUGAAAACCUGAC